GGCGCAGAGGCCGCUGCGGUGACUGGGGGUUGUGCUGCUGCUUUGGGUAGGCUGGGAAAUCGAUCGUUCUGCUUAAAUACGAAAUGGAAGAAGGAAGAUAUGACAUCUUGAAUACUUGUUGAUGCUGUCCUCAAGAGCAGAACUGCCUGCCAUGCAGUUCAGAAGCUGUGGGAGUGUGCAGGACCCUUCAUGCCUGAUAGCACCCAGAGAAAACAGUUAUGGUCACAAAUGCUGUUUGCAGGGAAGGAGAAGUUACUCCCUAAAGGAGUCCCAAGCCCACCGACCAUCUCCUGAAGGUUCUGAAAGCACAAACCGUGCAUGACACCUAAUCAGCUGAAUGAGUUCGAGUGCCUGCCCAAAGGAGGGGCAAGGAUGCUGAAAGGACACAAACUGAAGCCCCACCU